rnacentral:rRNA from 1 species
CAGCAGCCGCGGGAAUACAGAGGGUGCAAGCGUUAAUCGGAAUUACUGGGCGUAAAGCGCGCGUAGGUGGUUUGUUAAGUUGGAUGUGAAAGCCCCGGGCUCAACCUGGGAACUGCAUCCAAAACUGGCAAGCUAGAGUACGGUAGAGGGUGGUGGAAUUUCCUGUGUAGCGGUGAAAUGCGUAGAUAUAGGAAGGAACACCAGUGGCGAAGGCGACCACCUGGACUGAUACUGACACUGAGGUGCGAAAGCGUGGGGAGCAAACAGGAUUAGAUACCCGAGUAGUCCCUGUCUCUUAUAC